rnacentral:rRNA from 1 species
CCAAGCGUACACGGUGGAUGCCCUGGCAGUCAGAGGCGAUGAAGGACGUGCUAAUCUGCGAAAAGCGCCGGUAAGGUGAUAUGAACCGUUAUAACCGGCGAUGUCCGAAUGGGGAAACCCAGUGUGACUCGUCACACUAUCAUUAACUGAAUCCAUAGGUUAAUGAGGCGAACCGGGGGAACUGAAACAUCUAAGUACCCCGAGGAAAAGAAAUCAACCGAGAUUCCCCCAGUAGCGGCGAGCGAACGGGGAGGAGCCCAGAGCCUGAAUCAGCAUGUGUGUUAGUGGAAGCGUCUGGAAAGGCGCGCGAUACAGGGUGACAGCCCCGUACACAAAAGCGCAUGUGCUGUGAGCUCGAUGAGUAGGGCGGGACACGUGGUAUCCUGUCUGAAUAUGGGGGGACCAUCCUCCAAGGCUAAAUACUCCUGACUGACCGAUAGUGAACCAGUACCGUGAGGGAAAGGCGAAAAGAACCCCGGCGAGGGGAGUGAAACAGAACCUGAAACCGUGUACGUACAAGCAGUGGGAGCCCCACCACUAAGCCAGUGGUGAACUCCACAUACGCAUCCUUUGCGGAAGAUGCGGUUAACGGAGCGAAAGCGACGUUCAACCGCAAAAGAAGCAGAGGGGGCUUAGUGGUGGGGUGACUGCGUACCUUUUGUAUAAUGGGUCAGCGACUUAUAUUCUGUAGCAAGGUUAACCGAAUAGGGGAGCCGGAGGGAAACCGAGUCUUAAUUGGGCGUUAAGUUGCAGGGUAUAGACCCGAAACCCGGUGAUCUAGCCAUGGGCAGGUUGAAGGUUGGGUAACACUAACUGGAGGACCGAACCGACUAAUGUUGAAAAAUUAGCGGAUGACCUGUGGCUGGGGGUGAAAGGCCAAUCAAACCGGGAGAUAGCUGGUUCUCCCCGAAAGCUAUUUAGGUAGCGCCUCGUGAAUUCAUCUCCGGGGGUAGAGCACUGUUUCGGCCAGGGGGCCAUCCCGGCUUACCAACCCGAUGCAAACUGCGAAUACCGGAGAAUGUUAUCACGGGAGACACACGGCGGGUGCUAACGUCCGUCGUGAAGAGGGAAACAACCCAGACCGCCAGCUAAGGUCCCAAAGUCAUGGUUAAGUGGGAAACGAUGUGGGAAGGCCCAGACAGCCAGGAUGUUGGCUUAGAAGCAGCCAUCAUUUAAAGAAAGCGUAAUAGCUCACUGGUCGAGUCGGCCUGCGCGGAAGAUGUAACGGGGCUAAACCAUGCACCGAAGCUGCGGCAGCGACACUGUGUGUUGUUGGGUAGGGGAGCGUUCUGUAAGCCUGCGAAGGUGGCCUGUGAGGGUUGCUGGAGGUAUCAGAAGUGCGAAUGCUGACAUAAGUAACGAUAAUGCGGGUGAAAAACCCGCACGCCGGAAGACCAAGGGUUCCUGUCCAACGUUAAUCGGGGCAGGGUGAGUCGACCCCUAAGGCGAGGCCGAAAGGCGUAGUCGAUGGGAAACAGGUUAAUAUUCCUGUACCUGGUGUUACUGCGAAGGGGGGACGGAGAAGGCUAUGUUGGCCGGGCGACGGUUGUCCCGGUUUAAGCGUGUAGGCUGGUUUUCCAGGCAAAUCCGGAAAAUCAAGGCUGAGGCGUGAUGACGAGGCACUACGGUGCUGAAGCAACAAAUGCCCUGCUUCCAGGAAAAGCCUCUAAGCCUCAGGUAACAUCAGAUCGUACCCGAAACCGACACAGGUGGUCAGGUAGAGAAUACCAAGGCGCUUGAGAGAACCCGGGUGAAGGAACUAGGCAAAAUGGUGCCGUAACUUCGGGAGAAGGCACGCUGACAUGUAGGUGAAGCGGUUUACCCGUGGAGCUGAAGUCAGUCGAAGAUACCAGCUGGCUGCAACUGUUUAUUAAAAACACAGCACUGUGCAAACACGAAAGUGGACGUAUACGGUGUGACGCCUGCCCGGUGCCGGAAGGUUAAUUGAUGGGGUCAGCGCAAGCGAAGCUCCUGAUCGAAGCCCCGGUAAACGGCGGCCGUAACUAUAACGGUCCUAAGGUAGCGAAAUUCCUUGUCGGGUAAGUUCCGACCUGCACGAAUGGCGUAAUGAUGGCCAGGCUGUCUCCACCCGGGACUCAGUGAAAUUGAACUCGCUGUGAAGAUGCAGUGUACCCGCGGCAAGACGGAAAGACCCCGUGAACCUUUACUAUAGCUUGACACUGAACACUGGUCCUUGAUGUGCAGGAUAGGUGGGAGGCUUUGAAGUGUGGACGCCAGUCUGCAUGGAGCCGUCCUUGAAAUACCACCCUUUAAUGGCUGGUGUUCUAACGUAGACCCGUGAACCGGGUUGCGGACAGUGUCUGGUGGGUAGUUUGACUGGGGCGGUCUCCUCCUAAAGCGUAACGGAGGAGCACGAAGGUUGGCUAAUCCUGGUCGGACAUCAGGAGGUUAGUGCAAUGGCAUAAGCCAGCUUGACUGCGAGCGUGACGGCGCGAGCAGGUGCGAAAGCAGGUCAUAGUGAUCCGGUGGUUCUGAAUGGAAGGGCCAUCGCUCAACGGAUAAAAGGUACUCCGGGGAUAACAGGCUGAUACCGCCCAAGAGUUCAUAUCGACGGCGGUGUUUGGCACCUCGAUGUCGGCUCAUCACAUCCUGGGGCUGAAGUAGGUCCCAAGGGUAUGGCUGUUCGCCAUUUAAAGUGGUACGCGAGCUGGGUUUAGAACGUCGUGAGACAGUUCGGUCCCUAUCUGCCGUGGGCGCUGGAGAACUGAGGGGGGCUGCUCCUAGUACGAGAGGACCGGAGUGGACGCAUCACUGGUGUUCGGGUUGUCAUGCCAAUGGCACUGCCCGGUAGCUAAAUGCGGAAGAGAUAAGUGCUGAAAGCAUCUAAGCACGAAACUUGCCCCGAGAUGAGUUCUCCCUGAGACUACAAGUCUCCUGAAGGAACGUUGAAGACGACGACGUUGAUAGGCCGGGUGUGUAAGCGCAGCGAUGCGUUGAGCUAACCGGUACUAAUGAACCGUGAGGCUUAACC